UCUCCGUUGGUGAACCAGCGGAGGGAUCAUUACCGAGUUAUCAACUCCUAACCCCUGUGAACAUACCCAACGUUGCUUCGGCGGGACCGCCCCGGCGCCCUCGGCGUCCCGGAACCAGGCGCCCGCCGGAGGACCCAAACUCUUGUUUAAACCAUAGUGGCAUAUUCUGAGUCUCACAAGAAAAAUGAAUCAAAACUUUCAACAACGGAUCUCUUGGCUCUG
rnacentral:misc_RNA from 1 species